rnacentral:tRNA from 1 species
GGGGAUGAAUACAAAGGGUCGCGUGGCCGGUCUUUCAAGCCGGAAAAGCGGGUUCGAGUCCCGCCAUCCCCA